rnacentral:rRNA from 1 species
GGCGUGCCUAACACAUGCAAGUCGAGCGGUAUAUACUUAAACAAAUCUUCGGAAGAGUGAGAGUAUAGAGAGCGGCGGACGGGUGAGUAACGCGUAGGCAACCUGCCCCAUACAGAGGGAUAGCCUCGGGAAACCGGGAUUAAAACCUCAUAACGCGAAAGAGUCACAUGGCUUUUUCGCCAAAGAUUUAUCGGUAUGGGAUGGGCCUGCGUCUGAUUAGCUAGUUGGUGGGGUAACGGCUCACCAAGGCAACGAUCAGUAGCCGACCUGAGAGGGUAAUCGGCCACAUUGGAACUGAGACACGGUCCAAACUCCUACGGGAGGCAGCAGUGGGGAAUAUUGCACAAUGGGCGAAAGCCUGAUGCAGCAACGCCGCGUGAGCGAUGAAGGCCUUUGGGUCGUAAAGCUCUGUCCUAGGGGAAGAAUAAAUGACGGUACCCUUGGAGGAAGCCCCGGCUAACUACGUGCCAGCAGCCGCGGUAAUACGUAGGGGGCAAGCGUUAUCCGGAAUUAUUGGGCGUAAAGAGUGCGUAGGUGGUUUUGUAAGCGCGGGGUGAAAGGCAAUAGCUCAACUAUUGUAAGCCCUGCGAACUGUGAGACUUGAGUGCAGGAGAGGAAAGCGGAAUUCCUAGUGUAGCGGUGAAAUGCGUAGAUAUUAGGAGGAACACCAGUGGCGAAGGCGGCUUUCUGGACUGUAACUGACACUGAGGCACGAAAGCGUGGGGAGCAAACAGGAUUAGAUACCCUGGUAGUCCACGCCGUAAACGAUGAGCACUAGGUGUCGGGGCCGCAAGGUUUCGGUGCCGCAGUUAACGCAUUAAGUGCUCCGCCUGGGGAGUACGCACGCAAGUGUGAAACUCAAAGGAAUUGACGGGGACCCGCACAAGCAGCGGAGCAUGUGGUUUAAUUCGAAGCAACGCGAAGAACCUUACCAGGGCUUGNCNUCCCUCUGACCGGCGCGUAACGGUGCCUUUCCUUCGGGACAGAGGAGACAGGUGGUGCAUGGUUGUCGUCAGCUCGUGUCGUGAGAUGUUGGGUUAAGUCCCGCAACGAGCGCAACCCUUGUCAUUAGUUGCCAGCAGUUCGGCUGGGCACUCUAGUGAGACUGCCGGGGAUAACUCGGAGGAAGGUGGGGAUGACGUCAAAUCAUCAUGCCCCUUAUGUUCUGGGCUACACACGUGCUACAAUGGCUGGUACAAAGAGAAGCGAGACGGUGACGUGGAGCAAAUCUCAAAAACCAGUCCCAGUUCGGAUUG